GGAAGAAGACACUUCACUUACUGGAUAGGAUUGCAGGGACUGUUAUUAGGCAAAAAUGGGAAAAUUAGGAUACUGAUCCUGUGGUUGGAUGGAGCUGGGAAAAAAACUACAAUUCUUUACAGACUUCUAGUUGGGGAGGUCGUCACCACUAUAACCAGCCUUACUGGCGCUGCUACUACUCCAAAACCGAUGCUGUUAUCUAUGUAGUGGACAGCAGUGACCAGGACGGGAUGGGAAUUUCCAAGUCUGAACUGGUGGCUAUGCUUGAGAUAUCCCAAUCUGCUCCUUAUACCAUCACGGUCACCUAAUCAUCCCCAGCUUACAAUUGGCUCAUUCAUCCCCCAUCCUCUUCCCUGUAACUAUUCCCUAGGUUGUUGCUGUAAAUGACAAUGUGUUCUCAGUCAACUUACCUGGUAAAAUAAAAAAGGAAUUUGGCUUUAGGAGCUUGUAUAUGUUUACUGGUACCAUGGCUCACACUUAUCUUCUUAUCCAUUAGUCUAAUUUAUCAGGCUGUAAUACACAAUGAAUUGGUAUAUACAGCCUGAAAUGAAUGAAAAUAGUGUAAAUGUUCCUUACAAGCCAGAAUGUUGAAUACAAAUAUAUAUUUGAACUUACUCUGCCGGAUGUCUGUGCGGUUUGACCGUAAGCCACUUGAAAUCUGCUAAAUUGCAAAUAAACUCAG